CAGCCGCCGCGGUAACACGUAGGUCCCGAGCGUUGUCCGGAUUUAUUGGGCGUAAAGCGAGCGCAGGCGGUUUGAUAAGUCUGAAGUUAAAGGCUGUGGCUCAACCAUAGUUCGCUUUGGAAACUGUCAAACUUGAGUGCAGAAGGGGAGAGUGGAAUUCCAUGUGUAGCGGUGAAAUGCGUAGAUGUAUGGAGGAACACCGGUGGCGAAAGCGGCUCUCUGGUCUGUAACUGACGCUGAGGCUCGAAAGCGUGGGGAGCGAACAGGAUUAGAUACCCCGGUAGUCCCUGUCUCUUAUACA
rnacentral:rRNA from 1 species